CGACCACCCCAAAAUUCAUUGCUCAACUUUUUCGUUCCACCUCCGCUUCAAAACUUUUGCUCUGUUACUGAUUCGCUAUGCCAAAUCGUUGUACCUUUUUUGCUUCAAAUUUGUCUGCGUUAUUUUCGGUAUGACAAUAUCCAUCACUUUCGGUAUAACACUUCUCAAAGAUAUUGUGGUUUAAUUAACUUUGAUUCUAUAUUUAAGUUGCAUCUGUUAACAGAUAUUUGCAUCAUCAAACUUGUGAUGCAUAACAAUGAAGUAAAUUCGUAUUAUACGUUUUUGCAUGAAUUUUGUUUCAAACAUUUUCUUUUAACCCUGUAUUCUAUUGCACAUACUUAAUUUAUAGUCUAUAAAGCUGCUUACGUGAUCUGAGGACAUAAUGGUUUCUUCGAUAUCAUAGUCAUUUGAUUUAUUUGAAUACCUUACAUGUAUUUUGUUUAAUGAUUAUAACCUUAGAAACAUCCAACAUGGUGAUAUUUGGCUAGAGAAACCAGCAUAAUGGUUAAUGGUUAUAGCUGUCUGUGCGAAUCUUUUCAUCUCACACAAUUAGAAAUCCAUAAUCACAUAUAUUGUCAGUAUACUGUUGCUAUUUCUACUUGGUGGCUUCUCAUUGGUUUUGGGAGUUUCUUCUUCUAUAUGGAAGUGAAUUUUUCAUGUUGACGGUGUAAUUUGUAGUGUUUGUGCUUUGAAAUACUUUGCAAUAGGUUCUUUUUGGUCAUCUUUAUUCAAGUUUUAUUUCAAAAACUGAGAUUAUAUUUUGUCUUUUUUUAUUACAUGAUACUAAACUGUAAACUUUUGGGGCUUAACAAUAAUAAUCUUCAAAAUCUCAAACUAAUUUAGAGUUUUUAAGCCUAAGAGAUCACAUUAAAGAAGCUUGACAAAAUGACAUUGUAACUCUCUUCAUUAGCUUUUGUUUUUGGAUGUCCAAUGGAGAAAGAGGAGAAAAAACAUGAGAACUUGGGCUAUAAGUCAAUGGUGUUCUCCCCGGUCGGAGGUGAGAACUUAAAACUACAUACUGUUCAAGUGUAAGAUUGAUGUAUUUAUGAUUUCUUUUGUUCUCUAAAUUUACGAUGUUGUAUUGUUUAUAGAAACAGUGCAGGAGAUACAACUUGAUGCAGUUAAAUUCGGUUGAAUAGGGUGGUGCAUACAUGUAUAUUUUGCUAUCCCACAUGAACUAAAUUCUUUCGAACAAUAUAUUCUGGUUUUUGGAUGUUUGUAGAUACUAUUGACAUUAUGUAUUUUGUGCUUUUCUAUAUACUUAUAACAUUGAAUGGUGGAGUUUUGUAUGUUGUUUAUCUGGAAUAUAUAUUUUUUCUAAAAAAGUAGAUAUGCCCAUGAGUCAAGCCAUAGAGAUAAAAUGAUCUGCAAUAGACUCUGGUGUGAUGUUGAUGAUGAUGGCUCUUUGGUGUGCUUAAAUUUGGUUCUUCUCUAAAAUUUGUUCACGUAAUCAUUUUUGGUUUGCUGUAUUAUGAAUAUGUUGCCCGGACUCUUCGAUGGUAUCUUUGGAUGCACGUUGGAUCCUCUAAAAGUAGUAUAUUUGCGGAGGACCCGACACGAAUGCGGUAUUAUUUUGGAGAGUGUGCGACAUCGAUUAUUAUGAAACGAGCUUUCUUACAGUCAGGGGUAGAAUUAACAUAUUAUCAUUUGAGUGGAAUCUUCCGUUAGUACACCAAGGUUAAUUAGGAGUCAUAAUGGACCUUAAUUUGGAGUCAUGAUGGUAUAUAACGCAACUUUCUUAAAAGAUUGGAGUUGGAUGUACUAAAAUAAUGAUAUGUUCUUUGAGUUCCGUCUUCUCAAGAUUGGUUCUACUAUUGCCGGCCUACUCUUUCAGGUGUCAAAAAUAGCUUUAUUUACUGUUAUUCUCAUGAUGAUAACUUUUGUUUAGUGUAGAUAUGUACUUAAAUUUUUUAUUUUUGUGGUUUUACUAUUGGACUAUAUACCUUGAACAUUCUCAUAUGAGAAACAUGAGUUAUAAAGCUAAGAUAUACAAAAGUAUCGCAGAUUUGUGAUGAACUUCAAGUGAUGCAUAGGCCAUUGUCCUAUAGACAGAAGACUAAUUGUUUUAUACUAUAUUUUAUCUAGCUGUUAGGAUACAAUGCAUAAGAAUUAUUCCUUAUUUUGGUUUAAACUGAAAAAGGGAUAUUUGGCAAGGAUCUUUUGCAAUAUAGUACAAAGUGAAGAGAAUAAUGGAAGGUCAAUUUCCAGUUGACAAGGGGAUGAUUUUGAAGCUAAAGCUAUAUGAGCAGUGGGAUCACAGAGUCAUCAUCAUAAGUUGUUGAUGACUUUGGCAGACACGGGGAAAAUUAUUGACGUAGAAGGAUAGCAAAGCUACACCGCGCUUGGUUGAGUUGCUAGGUUAAUUGGCAAAAGUAGUUAUCAGGAAACUCGUGAGAACACGUGCCUCAUUGUCAUUUUUGUACUUGAUCAUUCCAGUAAUCUGUCAAAUAAUAAAUUUUUACAUUAAGGUUUAGGUUUAAAUGUAAACGCUUUCUAAGUCGUGAACUUUCAUUUUCACAGUUAUCCAUUCUUGAACUAGGCA